rnacentral:misc_RNA from 1 species
GGAUUCGAGGCAAAUAUGCAUCCAGAAAAGAUGGAUGACCAUGAAAAUGAGAUCCAACAGGCUGCUGGUGAGAGGAGUGAACAAGUACCCAUGUCACUGGAUUUCUCAGUCUUUGGAAUGAAACCACCUACUAGACCGACCAUUAACAGCGCUGACAGAACGCAUUUGAAGAGGAAAUUAGAUCUGGAAUUCCAACCCGAAGAGGAAUAACAUAUCUUUCUGAUUAUUUUUUUUCAUCUGGAUGAAGGCUGCUAUAUAGUUUAAGGCCAUAAUUUUGGUGAACAAGGAGAAGAGUCUUUAUUUCAGGUAUACUGGUGGUACAUUAUUGCAUCGAAUGUGCCCUCCUUUACUUUGAUAGUGCGAUGAUUGCCAAUAUAACGAUUGAUCUUGGAGAAGUACGUUGAACCAUGGCAAUAAAGUUUACCUAGUUCAUUCUUUAUCGUCGAGAGGAUGUAAUUGUAAU